rnacentral:rRNA from 1 species
UACGUAGGGGGCUAGCGUUGUUCGGAUUUAUUGGGCGUAAAGAGCGUGUAGGCGGCCAGGUAGGUCUGCUGUGAAAACUCGAGGCUCAACCUCGAGAUGUCGGCGGAAACCGUCUGGCUAGAGUCCGGAAGAGGAGAGUGGAAUUCCCGGUGUAGCGGUGAAAUGCGCAGAUAUCGGGAGGAACACCUAUGGCGAAGGCAGCUCGCUGGGACGUUACUGACGCUGAGGCGCGAAAGCUAGGGGAGCAAACGGG